AAGUAGAUGUGACGCUCACACGCAAAGAGAGAGUGAGAAAAGUUUGAGAUUAUUAUAGUCGUAGGAAAGGAGGGAGAAGAAGGAAAGAAAAAUGGAGGUGGAGAGAGUGCAAGCCAUAGCUGCUUCAUUGUCAAAGUGCAUGGACAGCAUACCAGCCGAGUACAUUAGGUCAGAGACAGAGCAACCAGCAAUCACCACCGUCAAAGGGAAGCUUCUAGAAGUACCGGUGAUCGAUCUUGGCGGCGGCGACAGAGACGAGGAGAGGGUGGUGAGGAUGGUGGAGGAGGCUGGGAGAGAGUGGGGGAUAUUCCAGGUGGUGAACCAUGGGAUACCAGAUGAAUUGAUAAGUAAAUUGCAGAGAUUGGGAAAGACUUUUUUGAGCUGCCACAGGAAGAGAAAGAGGUGUAUGCUAAGGAUGCUGAGUCUAAGAGCAUUGAAGGGUAUGGAAGUAAGCUUCAAAAGGAAGUUGAAGGGAAGAAAGGUUGGGUUGAUCAUUUGUUUCAUAAGAUUUGGCCUCCUUCUGCUAUUAACUACCACUUCUGGCCUAAGAACCCUCCUUCUUACAGGGAAGCAAACGAGGAAUAUGCAGAGCAAAUGAGGGGGGUGGUGGAGAAGUUGUUCAAGUGGUUGUCAUUAGGCAUUGGGCUAGAAGGGGAUGAGUUCAACAAGGAGCUAGGUGGGGAUGAGUUGGUGCACCUUAUGAAGAUCAAUUAUUACCCACCAUGUCCUAGACCUGACUUGGCACUUGGUGUGGUGGCUCACACUGACAUGUGUGCACUCACCAUUCUCGUACCAAAUGAAGUCCCAGGAUUACAAGUCUUCAAAGAUGAUCACUGGUACGAUGUCAAGUACAUCCCCAAUGCCCUCAUUGUUCAUAUUGGUGACCAAAUUGAGAUAUUAAGCAACGGAAAGUACAAGGCUGUGUUUCAUAGAACGACAGUGAACAAGGACACAACAAGAAUGUCAUGGCCAGUGUUUUUGGAGCCACCAGAAGAGCUUGAAGUUGGUCCCCAUCCAAAGCUUGUUAACGAUGAUGAUAACCCACCCAAAUUUAAGACCAAGAAGUACAAGGAUUAUGUCUACUGUAAGCUCAACAAGCUUCCCCAGUAAAAACAAAAGCUACCAUUUGAGCUUUGCAAUGUCAUGUUUUGCCUAUGAGGUGUAUCAUUAACAGUACUAAUGCGUAUGUGUGUUUUACUCCUACUUGUAUGCAAUGUCUUGGAUGCCAAAUAAUUUUACGAUGUAAUCGUUAUUAUUUUAUCAUAUUUUACUUAUCGUUUUAUUAAUAUAUCAUGAUUACAUUGAUUUAAUGGGUCA